GAAUGCUGACAUAAGUAACGAUAAAGCGGGUGAAAAGCCCGCUCGCCGGAAGACCAAGGGUUCCUGUCCAACGUUAAUCGGGGCAGGGUGAGUCGACCCCUAAGGCGAGGCCGAAAGGCGUAGUCGAUGGGAAACGGGUUAAUAUUCCCGUACUUGGUGUUACUGCGAAGGGGGGACGGAGAAGGCUAUGUUGGCCGGGCGACGGUUGUCCCGGUUUAAGCGUGUAGGUGUGUGUUCCAGGUAAAUCCGGUUCACUUUAACACUGAGGCGUGACGACGAGGCACUACGGUGCUGAAGCAACAAAUGCCCUGCUUCCAGGAAAAGCCUCUAAGCAUCAGGUAACACGAAAUCGUACCCCAAACCGACACAGGUGGUCAGGUAGAGA
rnacentral:rRNA from 2 species